UUGAAUAUUAAAGAAAAAGAUGAGCACAAGGCUCUACAAUAGGAAAUACUCCAGAGUCUAUGACUCCUUACCAGAGAGAUAUUCUCUCCUUAACCUAAUUCUCACCAACAAACAUGCCUCCUUUCUCCUCCCCUCCUCCCUCUUAUAUAAUCCCUAUUAACCUAAAAUAACCUAACUGCCACAUAGGCUACAUAUAUUUAUUUUAAAUAUAUAAAAUAACAAUAGUACUAAUUAUUAAUAACCCCAUCCCACUAAUCAAGGAAAUCCCCCCUAAUAAACUGAAUCCCACUAAUCAAGUGAAUCAUGAAUCCUCAUAUCUGGUGUCCUAUCAGAAGCUGCGAAGGCGGACGAUGUCGUUCAGUUCUACAAGGCCGCGUUUGGUGGAAGCUCUGUGCUCUGAACCCUAAGCCCAAAGCUGACCAUGAGCUUCCUCUAAUCCUCUCUGCUGAGCUCAAGAUAGCUGGUUCCUCCAUUCUCGUUGCUGACCUUGCUGUUGACUCUACUGCACCAGUGUGGUCUGUCAGAACUACUUACGUUGACUGAUGUUGCGAGUUCUGCAUCUUAACCAGCGUUGUGUCUUGACCCAAGGCUUUGAAAGAGUGCAAACCUCUGGUCUGGAAAUGUUUCUGAUAAAUUUGCAAGUAUUCCCUUAUGCAAUAGUUUUAUUGAAAAGAGGCUAUAACUGGUCAUGAGUAUAAAACCACACAACAUUUCUGCCUGGAAUAUUCUCCUGCUUCAAAGUUCAGAACAUCACCCAAGUUUGGAAGCUUCACUCCAAGAAGACAUGCGUUAGAAGGAUCGUCCAAGCAACAUGAAGCUCAACGUUGAAGGAUCAAGGAUGUACCGUCUGCCAGUCAUAAUCAGAAGUGAAACGUCUACAUGUACCAUCUACCAACUCGCAACUAGACGAAGUUCAACCGCAGCUGAUGUCAACACUUACCACCAUCUUCGAUUGAAUAUUGUUUCACAUGAUUUCAUUCAUCUGUAAUAAUUUAUCUAUUCAUUUCAGGUAAGUUUAGUCAUAUGCCACGUAUGACUCAUGUUCUCUUGCAUUGCAGACCGUGAAGAGAAGCAAGAUUUGCGAGAGUGAGGUUGAAAGUGCCAAGCCUGGGAUGGUUAAUACUAGUACUAUAGAAAGCAUUUUAAAAGAGUUAUGUAUGUUGUAAUCAUAGCUUACAAUCUUUUAAUUGAAUUCCUAUAUUUGUUUUGUGGUUUUAAA